rnacentral:rRNA from 12 species
CACCAGGUUGAUUCUGCCUGACGUAUGUGCUUGUCUUGAGAUUUAGCCAUGCAAGUUAGCGAAUCUAAAUGUGAAGCAACAGACAGCUCAGUAAUAGAGUUAAAAUUAACUCGUGAAAUUAAAUGGUAACCUUGGUAAGCUAAGGCUAAUACAUAUUAUGAAAAUUAGAGGGGGGCACCUUAAUUUUUUUUUUUACGAUUAAGUUUCUGACCUAUCAGCUAGAUGGUAAGGUAAAGGCUUACGAUUGCUAUAACGGGUAACGGAAAAUCAGGGUUUGAUUCCGGAGAGGGAGCCUGAGAAAUAGCUACCACGUCUAAGGAUGGCAGCAGGCGCGAAAAUUACCCAAUUCCUUAACGGGAGAGGUAGUGAAGAGACAUGAAUAUGGUAUUCGAGUAGGUACAUUAAAAUAGUACUGAAAUAAUUGGAGGGCAAGUCUGGUGCCAGCAGCCGCGUAAUUCCAGCUCCAGUAGCGCAUAUAAUAGUUGCUGCAGUUAAAAAGUCCGUAGUUGAUCUAAUAGUAUACCUGUGAGUAAACUAUAAUACUCAAAAUUAUAAUAAAGCAUGGGAUAAAGAGAUAAUAGGAACAGAUGAUGGCAAUAGUAUUCAAUAGUUAGAGGUGAAAAUUUAAGACCUAUUGAGGACUAUCAGAAGCGAAAGCGAUUGUCAAGGAUGUAUCCGUUAAUAAAGGACUUAAGCUAGAUUAUCGAAGAUGAUUAGAUACCGUCGUAGUUCUAGCUGUAAACGAUGCCGACUAGGUGAUGCCGUUAGCUAUGCCUUAGGAGAAAUCAAAGUCUACGGGCUCUGGGGAUAGUAUGCCGGCAACGGUGAAACUUAAAGAAAUUGACGGAAGAAUACCACAAGGAGUGGAUUAUGCGGCUUAAUUUGACUCAACGCGGGACAACUUACCAGAACCGAACUCAUAUGAGAAUUGAAAACAAUGAUAAUGAGGAAGGUGGUGCAUGGCCGUUUUCAACACGUGGGGUGACCUGUCAGGUUAAUUCCGAUAACGCGUGAGGCCUUUAAUUUAUAUUCAGAGAUAUAGAUGACGGAUAAUGAUAAGUUAUAGGAAGUAAGGCUAUAACAGGUCAGUGAUGCCCCAGAUGCUCUGGGCUGCACGCGUACUACAAUGAUAUAUUGAAAUUAUACAUUGAGAAAUGUUUUUUAUAUAAUAUAUAUCUAAGCUGGGAUAAUUCAUUGUAAAUUGAAUUUGAACUUGGAAUUCCUAGUAAUCAUAAGUCAUUAUGUUAUGAUGAAUGCGUCCCUGUUCUUUGUACACACCGCCCGUCACUAUCUAAGAUGGAUGUAUAGGUGAAAUGGCUAGACUUUUAAUAGGAAAGCAGUUAAACCUGUACAACUAAAUAAGAUAUAAGUCGUAACAAGGUAACCNNNNNNNNNNNNNNNNNNNNNNNNNNN